UCAAGUAAUUAAGUGCAUGUGGUGGAUGCCUUGGCAGUCAGAGGCGAUGAAAGACGUGAUAGCCUGCGAAAAGCUCCGGGGAGGCGGCAAAUAUCCUUUGAUCCGGAGAUGUCUGAAUGGGGGAACCCACCUACUUUAAGGUAGGUAUUGCAACAUGAAUACAUAGUGUUGCAAGGCGAACGAGGGGAAGUGAAACAUCUCAGUACCCUUAGGAAAAGAAAUCAAUUGAGAUUCCCUCAGUAGCGGCGAGCGAACGGGGAUCAGCCCAUUAAGUUAUGUGUGUUUUAGUGGAACGCUCUGGGAAGUGCGAACGUAGAGGGUGAUAUUCCCGUACACGAAAGGGCACACAUAAUGAUGACGAGUAGGGCGAGGCACGUGAAACCUUGUCUGAAUAUGGGGGGACCAUCCUCCAAGGCUAAAUACUCCUGACUGACCGAUAGUGAACCAGUACCGUGAGGGAAAGGCGAAAAGAACCCCUGUGAGGGGAGUGAAAUAGAUCCUGAAACCGCAUGCAUACAAGCAGUGGGAGCACCUUCGUGGUGUGACUGCGUACCUUUUGUAUAAUGGGUCAGCGACUUAUAUUCAGUAGCGAGGUUAACCGUAUAGGGGAGCCGUAGAGAAAUCGAGUCUUAAUAGGGCGUUUAGUUGCUGGGUAUAGACCCGAAACCAGGCGAUCUAUCCAUGAGCAGGUUGAAGGUUGGGUAACACUAACUGGAGGACCGAACCCACCGUCGUUGAAAAGCCAGGGGAUGACUUGUGGAUAGGGGUGAAAGGCUAAUCAAGCCUGGUGAUAGCUGGUUCUCCCCGAAAGCUAUUUAGGUAGCGCCUCGGACGAAUACCAUAGGGGGUAGAGCACUGUUUCGGCUAGGGGGUCAUCCCGACUUACCAAACCGAUGCAAACUCCGAAUACCUAUGAGUACUAUCCGGGAGACAGACUGCGGGUGCUAACGUCCGUAGUCAAGAGGAAAACAAUCCAGACCGCCAGCUAAGGCCCCAAAAUCAUAGUUAAGUGGGAAACGAUGUGGGAAGGCAUAGACAGCUAGGAGGUUGGCUUAGAAGCAGCCACCCUUUAAAGAAAGCGUAAUAGCUCACUAGUCGAGUCGGCCUGCGCGGAAGAUGUAACGGGGCUAAAACUAUGUGCCGAAGCUGCGGAUGUAUACUUUGUAUACGUGGUAGGGGAGCGUUCUGUAAGCCGAUGAAGGUGUGUUGAGAAGCAUGCUGGAGGUAUCAGAAGUGCGAAUGCUGACGUGAGUAACGACAAAACGGGUGAAAAACCCGUUCGCCGAAAGACCAAGGGUUCCAGUCCAACGUUAAUCGGGGCUGGGUGAGUCGACCCCUAAGGCGAGGCCGAAAGGCGUAGUCGAUGGGAAAAUGGUUAAUAUUCCAUUACUUCUGUGUAAUGCGAUGAGAGGACGGAGAAGGCUAAAUCAGCCUGGCGUUGGUUGUCCAGGUGAAAGGAUGUAGGCAUGUAUCUUAGGCAAAUCCGGGGUACUCUAUGCUGAGAUCUGAUAGCAAGCUGUACUUGUACAGCGAAGUGGUUGAUGCCAUGCUUCCAGGAAAAGUCUCUAAGCUUCAGUUACACAGGAAUCGUACCCGAAACCGACACAGGUGGUCAGGUCGAGUAGACCAAGGCGCUUGAGAGAACUCUGCUGAAGGAACUAGGCAAAAUGGUACCGUAACUUCGGGAGAAGGUACGCUGUUGUUGGUGAUGGAACUCGCUUCCUGAGCUGACGACAGCCGCAGAAACCAGGCCGCUGCAACUGUUUAUUAAAAACAUAGCACUCUGCAAACACGAAAGUGGACGUAUAGGGUGUGAUGCCUGCCCGGUGCUGGAAGGUUAAUUGAUGGGGUUAGCGUAAGCGAAGCUCUUGAUCGAAGCCCCAGUAAACGGCGGCCGUAACUAUAACGGUCCUAAGGUAGCGAAAUUCCUUGUCGGGUAAGUUCCGACCUGCACGAAUGGCAUAAUGAUGGCGGCGCUGUCUCCAGCAGAGGCUCAGUGAAAUCGAAAUCGCUGUGAAGAUGCAGUGUACCCGCGGCUAGACGGAAAGACCCCGUGAACCUUUACUGCAGCUUGACACUGAACUUUGACCUUACUUGUGUAGGAUAGGUGGGAGGCUUUGAAGCUGGAACGCUAGUUCCAGUGGAGCCGUCCUUGAAAUACCACCCUGGUAAUGUUGAGGUUCUAACUCUGUCCCGUGAUCCGGGACGAGGACCGUGUCUGGUGGGUAGUUUGACUGGGGCGGUCUCCUCCUAAAGAGUAACGGAGGAGUACGAAGGUGCGCUCAGCGUGGUCGGAAAUCACGCGUAGAGUAUAAAGGCAAAAGCGCGCUUAACUGCGAGACCCACAAGUCGAGCAGGUACGAAAGUAGGUCUUAGUGAUCCGGUGGUUCUGUAUGGAAGGGCCAUCGCUCAACGGAUAAAAGGUACUCUGGGGAUAACAGGCUGAUACCGCCCAAGAGUUCAUAUCGACGGCGGUGUUUGGCACCUCGAUGUCGGCUCAUCUCAUCCUGGGGCUGAAGCAGGUCCCAAGGGUAUGGCUGUUCGCCAUUUAAAGAGGUACGCGAGCUGGGUUUAGAACGUCGUGAGACAGUUCGGUCCCUAUCUACCGUGGGCGCUGGAAAUUUGAGAGGAUCUGCUCCUAGUACGAGAGGACCAGAGUGGACGAACCUCUGGUGUACCGGUUGUGACGCCAGUCGCAUCGCCGGGUAGCUAUGUUCGGAAGGGAUAACCGCUGAAAGCAUCUAAGCGGGAAGCCUACCUCAAGAUAAGAUUUCCCUAGGACUUUAUGUCCUCUAAAGAGCCGUUCGAGACUAGGACGUUGAUAGGUUGGAUGUGGAAGCAUAGUGAUAUGUGAAGCUGACCAAUACUAAUUGCUCGUGAGGCUUGACUAU
rnacentral:rRNA from 1 species